AUGCGAUGGAUCGAAGGUAGCUGUGGCGUUGCUGGUGCUGAAGAUGUCCCGAGGAUCAUCAACGUCCUUUUUCUUUGUCUCGAGAAGAUCGUGAAGCUCCUGAACGCCACUGAUGGUGAAGGUCUUUUCGUUCAAGCCGCCGUCAUCCUCGGCAUCCCAGCGAGGAUCAAGAUCAAACGCCUCGGUGAAAGAAGCCGUCCGAAUUGCCUCUACUUCUUCACUCACCUGGAUCUUCUCCUCGUGCCUGUGCAACACGCUGAUUGAAGGCGCUGCUCGCGACUGCUUCUCAAGGACAGCGUACGUAUCUUCCAUGCAUACGCUCGCCACGGUUGUGACAGUGAUGCUCUCAAAGCUGUGACAGGCAGACGGCGGUGCUCGUGGAUCGAACUCGCCAUCCAUCGUAGCGUUUUCUACUCACUCAAACAGCUCCUCCUCCCGCGGCCAAAAAGAAAACUGAAUGUCUUUCUUGGCAUGUUGGGCGAGGGAGAAGCUGAUUAACGAUAUUAAAUGGAAAGAUAAACAACAAUGACUUAGUCCGUGGCAUGUUCUUUGUUAUGAAACCAUUCUCCCUUGUCAGAUGACAGUAUAGCCUCGUAAAUACGAGUAUCCUUCUCGAGCAUGCCCAGGUCCUCUUUAGUCAAGUUGGAGAUCACCUUCUGGAAAGUGGAUUCAUCCAUGAACCAUAUCCAAGCUGCCACCAGCCCAACUAC
rnacentral:lncRNA from 1 species